UACGAAGGGGGCUAGCGUUGCUCGGAAUCACUGGGCGUAAAGGGUGCGUAGGCGGGUCUUUAAGUCAGGGGUGAAAUCCUGGAGCUCAACUCCAGAACUGCCUUUGAUACUGAAGAUCUUGAGUCCGGGAGAGGUGAGUGGAACUGCGAGUGUAGAGGUGAAAUUCGUAGAUAUUCGGAGGAACACCAGUGGCGAAGGCGGCUCACUGGCUCGGUACUGACGCUGAGGUGCGAAAGCGUGGGGAGCAAACAGG
rnacentral:rRNA from 1 species